rnacentral:rRNA from 1 species
CCUACGGGAGGCAGCAGUAGGGAAUUUUCGUCAAUGGGGGAAACCCUGAACGAGCAAUGCCGCGUGAGUGAAGAAGGUCUUCGGAUCGUAAAGCUCUGUUGUAAGUGAAGAACGGCUCAUAGAGGAAAUGCUAUGGGAGUGACGGUAGCUUACCAGAAAGCCACGGCUAACUACGUGCCAGCAACCGCGGUAAU